rnacentral:ncRNA from 1 species
AGGAGCCGUGUACGAGACCCGUAAGCACGGUUCUAUGGGAGGUCGAAGUUCCCUUCUAUCGGGGAACUUCUCCUACCCGAU